CGCGAACUCUAGACCCUUACGGCCAGGGCUACACACGCUGCUACAAUGGGUCCGUACAAAGGGUUGCCAAGCCGCGAGGUGGAGCUAAUCGCAUAAAACCGAUCGUAGUCCGGAGUUAGGAUCGCAGUCAGCUACUCGACUGCGUGAAGUCGGAUUCGCUAGUAAUCGUGAAUCAGAAUGUCACGGUGAAUACGUUCCCGGGCCUAGUACACACCGCCCGUCACACCAUGGGAGUUACAUCUGGGUUGCUCCAGAAGUAGCUAGUCUAAGCGCAAGCGGGACGGUUACCACGGAGUGAUUCAUGGCUUCUGGGGUGAAGUCGUAACAAGGUAGCCGUAGGAGAACCUGCGGUAGCAUCACCUCGUAUA
rnacentral:rRNA from 1 species